rnacentral:telomerase_RNA from 17 species
AUGAGGAGGUCGGUUACCUAUUAAGAUGUCCAUGGUCGUCACGUUUAGUUACUAGUAUUUUUUCUCUUUUGUUUCUGUUUUUUGUGCAUUUUCCAUUUGAGUUUUCUAUUGUUGAGCCUCAGAUAUUUGGUAGACGCUUAAUGGUGGAAUGAUUGGACCGGAUUUAGGGUUGUGUUCUCAGAUUGGCGGGCAGUUACACUGGUUGUUGUUUUUUAACGAAGGGCUAUGAGUGCGCUGGUGUCAGUGUAGAUACAUAUGUAUGCGUACAUGUGGUUUUUGUUGUUCUUCUACUUAUAGAUCGCUAAAAUCUGAGUUUGAGAAAUGCGGGACCAUCCAUGUCCGAAUAUAACUGACGCAUUUUGUAGCUAGAACACGUUUUUCCUACAAUUAUCCCGCUCCUCUUAGAAAAAUUCUGCUUUCACUCCAACUCUUCAUCAUUUUAUAAGAAUUUGUCUACCAUUACCACACCCACACACAAACAUUACGGCUAGUAGUUUAUUAGUCAAAUUUCCAUGGCCACACAUUUUGUCUUUUUCUCGUUUUCUUAUUGUGUUUUCUGUCACUGUGAAAGUGACGGAGAAAAAGGAGUUUGGAAUCAGAUUUGCAAAACGGGCUGUAUCAAUAAUACUGUCAUUCCUAAUGUCUGAUUCAUCGUCAACUCUGUAAAAAGAGAACAAGAAAGGDAAAAUUGAUGGGCAAAAGUAUAUAUAGAAAUGGUUUAUUCCCGUUUUUUCCAUUUCUCAGUAGAUUUUUCCCUUUUGCGAGAAUAAAUUGACACUUGAACAAAAAGCUUCGAAGAAAAAUCUAUUCACUGAACUUAUAUAUAGAAAAAUCAAAUGUGCUAAGUAUAUUUAAAAUGGAAACAAAUAGGGGGAAAGAGAUAGGUAGAUAAACAGCCCAAGGGACAAGGACACCCUUCCUCAGGCACUGAAUAUAUUGGAGAGUGGACAGUAACAGAGAAAUGAUACAAGAUGGAAAGCCAUAAAUUGAGAUUUUCUUGAAUGGGUUCAUUUAGAUAUUUCUCUUUAGCCAUUUUUGAUAAUCAAUACAGUAUUCUUGUUCCCAUCCUUGUCAGAUUAAGGAAGGAACAUUAAUUCCAAACAGGAAAAACUGUGUGUUCACUUCGUGGGUUUGCGUGUUGUACAUUUCCUUCAUCCGUGUUGGCGGUUACUUUCCUCAAUAUACCUUCAGUGCAUACAAAUUUUUGGAACAAUU